UUUCAGGAAAGCCGCCGACUUAGACGGACGGAGACGGUUGUCCUGCCGCAUUUUUUUUUACUUUCACAAUCAGAUUGAAAAGCGUUGGAUGGUGGCGCGUUCACAACACUCUCUGGAUUUCCUCUUUAUGCAUCCCAGGCUUUGCCGGUUAUAGUUUUCAAGUUGAAGAAGCAGUCAGCGUUUAGCGGUUCAUUUAGCCGUUUUGUCAAAUCUUUACAUGAAGAUGACUUUUCAUGAACAAGAUCCUGAUGUUGUUAGAUGGGGUCUUCAUCAUCUUAUGGAUAUUUGUUCCGUAUCUAAUGCUGGAUCGCCUGGUGCUUUUACUCACUAUGACAAAGAUUUCUCUCGUGUUGAGUAUGUGAGCGAAGGUUAUUGUGUGUCAAAUCAUGCCAAUAUUGAGAAUGAUGAGAUGAUUGCACGUGCUUUUCAAGAAGAACUGUCACGGCUUACGUUGGAGGAGAAUCAUGGAUCACCUGAAGAGGAUCAUCAAAAAGAAUCUGUACUUGCUCAGGAUUGGCUUGCCCCUUCAAAAAGACAUGAGCUUGAUAGCAUUCAUGAACAAGAUUUGGAAAACGUAAACAGGACAUGCAACUUAUCGUUGAACAUUGAAGAAAGAUCAGGUGAUGAUGACAAUCAAUCAUGUUCCCCUGAGAUGGCAGAUGAGUCUACGCUUGAUGGUGAAGUAGGAAAGAGGAUAAAUCAAAUGGUUCCCAUCCGUCAUGUCCCUAAGGUAAAUGGAGAAGUGCCCUCUGCCGAUGAAGCAACAUCUGAUCAUCAGAGGCUGAUGGACAGAUUGCAGCUUUAUGAUCUAGUUGAACUAAAAGUUUCAGGAGAUGGUAACUGCCAGUUCCGCUCCUUGUCAGAUCAAAUUUACCGCUCGAGUGAGCACCACAAACUUGUGAGAGAGCAAGUUGUUCAUCAGCUCAAGUUUUAUCCAGAAUUGUAUGCGGCUUAUGUUCCCAUGGCUUAUGAUGAGUACUUGAAGAAAAUCAGCACGAGUGGCGAAUGGGGAGAUCAUGUCACGUUGCAGGCUGCUGCUGAUGCGUUUGGAGUCAAGAUAUUCGUCUUAACUUCAUAUAAAGAUACUUGUUACAUUGAGAUUCUACCAUGUGCUCAAAAGUCAAAGAGAAUCAUCUUCUUGAGUUUUUGGGCUGAGGUGCACUAUAAUUCAAUUUAUCCUGAAGGAGAUCUGCCGACCAUGGAGCAGAGAAAGAAGAAAAAGUGGUGGAUGCUUGGGAGUUGAAUGGCUGUAACAGAUCAUCCCCUUUGAUGGAUGCAUGGAUUGGAGGAUGUCUUAUAAACGAGAGGUUUGAUUGACUUUGCAGUAACAAGUAGCUGACGUAGAGCUCCAUCUUCAACCCGAAACAAGACAAAGAACCCUCCUCGAUCAAUUAUCUAGAAUACAAGCAUGAAGCUGUGGUGAUUCUCCGACCCAAUGAAGAAAGUUGAGUUUUCAUGCAGCCAGUAUGAUAGCAAAAGCAAUCUAGACGUCGACAUUACACGAGAUAAGGUGUUAACUCUAGUAUCUAAAAUGGUAAUCGAAUGAAACACUCAGAGUUGAAACAACACAUAUGCUUCCUAGUUCCUAAUAUUGGUUUGUUCCUGUGGUUUUGGGCAUUUUAGACAAUUUUAAGUUUCAUGUAAAAAUGGAAAAGUAUUUGUUUCGGUCUGUGCCAGUGACUGAAACAUAUGGCAAAUAUAGACUUGAAUGUAUUGUGCGCUUGGACGAGAGGUAAAAAAGGUCCUUAAUAGGUACGAAUAGACCUUCAAUAUAUUGUUUUUAUAUUAA